rnacentral:rRNA from 1 species
UACGGAGGGGGCUAGCGUUGUUCGGAAUUACUGGGCGUAAAGCGCACGUAGGCGGCUUUGUAAGUUAGAGGUGAAAGCCCGGGGCUCAACCCCGGAAUAGCCUUUAAGACUGCAUCGCUUGAAUCCAGGAGAGGUGAGUGGAAUUCCGAGUGUAGAGGUGAAAUUCGUAGAUAUUCGGAAGAACACCAGUGGCGAAGGCGGCUCACUGGACUGGUAUUGACGCUGAGGUGCGAAAGCGUGGGGAGCAAACAGG